CCCCAAACCAACCGGUCCCAGUUCAGAUUGCAGGCUGAAACCCGCCUGCAUGAAGACGGAAUUGCUAGUAAUCGCGGAUCAGCAUGCCGCGGUGAAUACGUUCCCGGGCCUUGUACACACCGCCCGUCACACCAUGAGAGUCGGUAACACCCGAAGCCUGUGAGCUAACCGUAAGGAGGCAGCAGUCGAAGGUGGGAUCGACAAUUGGGGUGAAGUCGUAACAAGGUAAC
rnacentral:rRNA from 1 species